rnacentral:rRNA from 1 species
GACGAACGCUGGCGGCGUGCUUAACACAUGCAAGUCGAACGGAAAGGCCCUGCUUUUGUGGGGUGCUCGAGUGGCGAACGGGUGAGUAACACGUGAGUAACCUGCCCUUGACUUUGGGAUAACUUCAGGAAACUGGGGCUAAUACCGGAUAGGGGCUCCUGCUGCAUGGUGGGGGUUGGAAAGUUUCGGCGGUUGGGGAUGGACUCGCGGCUUAUCAGCUUGUUGGUGGGGUAGUGGCUUACCAAGGCUUUGACGGGUAGCCGGCCUGAGAGGGUGACCGGCCACAUUGGGACUGAGAUACGGCCCAGACUCCUAUGGGAGGCAGCAGUGGGGAAUAUUGCACAAUGGGCGGAAGCCUGAUGCAGCAACGCCGCGUGCGGGAUGACGGCCUUCGGGUUGUAAACCGCUUUCGCCUGUGACGAAGCGUGAGUGACGGUAAUGGGUAAAGAAGCACCGGCUAACUACGUG